rnacentral:rRNA from 1 species
UACGUAGGGUGCAAGCGUUUAAUCGGAAUUACUGGGCGUAAAGCGUGCGCAGGCGGUUAUGCAAGACAGAUGUGAAAUCCCCGGGCUUAACCUGGGAACCGCAUUUGUGACUGCAUAGCUGGAGUACGGCAGAGGGGGAUGGAAUUCCGCGUGUAGCAGUGAAAUGCGUAGAUAUGUGGAGGAAUACCGAUGGCGAAGGCAGCCCCCCUGGGAUAACACUGACGCUCAUGCACGAAAAGCGUGGGGAGCAAACAGG